AUUGAACGCUGGCGGCAGGCUUAACACAUGCAAGUCGAACGCGUGGCGGACGGGUGAGUAACGCUUGGGAAUCCAGCCUAUGGAGGGGGAUAACUACGGGAAACUGUAGCUAAUACCGCGUACCCUAGGAUGCGCCCAAGUGGGAUUAGCUAGUAGGCGGGGUAAAGGCUCACCUAGGCGACGAUCUCUAGCUGGUCUGAGAGGAUGAUCAGCCACACUGGGACUGGGACACGGCCCAGACUCCUACGGGAGGCAGCAGAGGGGAAUAUUGCACAAUGGGCGCAAGCCUGAUGCAGCCAUGCCGCGUGUAUGAAGAAGGCCCUAGGGUUGUAAAGUACUUUCAGUAGGGAAGCGUUACCGACAGAAGAAGCACCGGCUAACUCCGUGCCAGCAACCGCGGUAAUAC
rnacentral:rRNA from 1 species